CAAGCAGGCCGCCUUAUCGCCAAGAAAUUCAUUUCUUGGAGGAAAUUCCGGACACCAAAGGGUGGCAUAGUGGGUAACGCCCACCGAUCUCGUUGUGAGGUCAGGACUAGUGCAACAGAAAGAAUGUACAGGUAAUGCUGUAGUGAAAUCAGGUAAACUCUAUGCGGUGCAAUGCCAUGUAUACCGGUGUUUGCAAGUGACCCGCUUGCUAUCGGAGGGUAGGCAGCUAAAAGUUUUUGGUAACAAAAACCUGAGAUAAAUGAUAAGGAGAAUCCCAGUUUAACUGGGAGGUACAGAAUCCGGAUUACAGGCCUGCUUUUUUA
rnacentral:RNase_P_RNA from 1 species